UACGAAGGGUGCAGGCGUUAAUCGGAAUUACUGGGCGUAAAGCGCGCGUAGGUGGUUCGUUAAGUUGGAUGUGAAAGCCCCGGGCUCAACCUGGGAACUGCAUCCAAAACUGGCGAGCUAGAGUAUGGCAGAGGGUGGUGGAAUUUCCUGUGUAGCGGUGAAAUGCGUAGAUAUAGGAAGGAACACCAGUGGCGAAGGCGACCACCUGGGCUAAUACUGACACUGAGGUGCGAAAGCGUGGGGAGCAAACAGGAUUAGAACCGU
rnacentral:rRNA from 1 species